GGACCGGUGGGUGAGUUGGCUUAAACCACAUCCCUGCUAAGGAUGCGUAGCCGCAAGGUUACCGAGGGUUCGAAUCCCUCCCUGUCCGCCA
rnacentral:tRNA from 1 species